GAUGAACGCUGGCGGCGUGCUUAACACAUGCAAGUCGAGCGAAGCGAUUAGGACAUUUUUUCUCUGACUGUAGUUGCUGAUGGCUGAGUAACACGCGGAUAACUAACCCAUGAGUCAGCGACCUUUUCCUGGAAGCGAACCUCUUACCAGGUCUUAUAUUAACGCAUACGCGCCCAAUGUUGAAUGAGGUUUUGCUAAAACUUCUAGUUGUAUCCGCUGGCCCCUCGUCUGUUUAGCUAGUUGGUAAGGUAACAGCUUACCAAAGCAACGAUGCCUAAGCGACCUGAGAGGGUGAUCGACCACACUGGAACUGAGACACGGUCCAGACUCCUACAGGAGGCAGCAGUAGGGAAUCUUCCGCAAUGGGCGAAAGCCUGACGGAGCAACGCCGCGUGAGUGAUGAAGGUCUUCGGAUCGUAAAACUCUGUUAUUAGGGAAGAACAAAUGUGUAAGUAACUAUGCACGUCUUGACGGUACCUAAUCAGAAAGCCACGGCUAACUACGUG
rnacentral:rRNA from 1 species